GCCCGGCUAGCUCAAUCGGUAGAGCGUGAGACUCUUAAGGAGUAUUCCGUAAAUCUCAAGGUUGGGGGUUCGACCCCCCCGUCGGGCU